rnacentral:rRNA from 1 species
GACGAACGCUGGCGGCGUGCUUAACACAUGCAAGUCGAACGGAAAGGCCCUGCUUUUGUGGGGUGCUCGAGUGGCGAACGGGUGAGUAACACGUGAGUAACCUGCCCUUGACUUUGGGAUAACUUCAGGAAACUGGGGCUAAUACCGGAUAGGAGCUCCUGCUGCAUGGUGGGGGUUGGAAAGUUUCGGCGGUUGGGGAUGGACUCGCGGCUUAUCAGCUUGUUGGUGGGGUAGUGGCUUACCAAGGCUUUGACGGGUAGCCGGCCUGAGAGGGUGACCGGCCACAUUGGGCCUGAGAUACGGCCCAGACGCCUACGGGAGGAAGCAGUGGGGAAUAUUGCACAAUGGGCGGAAGCCUGAUGCAGCAACGCCGCGUGCGGGAUGACGGCUUUCGGGUUGUAAACCGCUUUCGCCUGUGACGAAGCGUGAGUGACGGUAAUGGGUAAAGAAGCACCGGCGAACUACGU